rnacentral:rRNA from 1 species
UACGAAGGGGGCUAGCGUUGUUCGGAAUUACUGGGCGUAAAGCGUGCGCAGGCGGUUUGUUAAGUCCGUUGUGAAAGCCCCGAGCUCAACUUGGGAAUUGCAGUGGAUACUGGCAGGCUGGAGUACGGUAGGGGAAGGUGGAAUUCCCGGUGUAGCAGUGAAAUGCGUAGAUAUCGGGAGGAACACCAGUGGCGAAGGCGGCCUUCUGGACCAGUACUGACGCUCAUGCACGAAAGCGUGGGGAGCAAACAGG